GGGCAUUUUUGUCAUCACAAAAUAAAAUUUUCACUAAGUCUCAUUUUUAAAAACGAUUCGGGUUUUUUCUAUAGGAUUCCUUAUUUGUUCUCCUCAAAGCUUACCUACUAUGUCGGGGGUGACAACAACAUCUUCUUUGAUCUCCUUCUCGGCAAAACCAUCUCAUCACUCAUUCUCAAAAUCUCCACUACCCAUUUCCAAAAUCUCCAUUCCCUUCUCCUUAAAGCCCCAAAAACCCUCCUACCAUCGCUGUCAUC
rnacentral:lncRNA from 1 species